rnacentral:lncRNA from 1 species
AUGACCUUCUUCUCCAUGUCCCAACAAAUGCCUUAUCAAAAUUCUAGAAUGUUGCAGGAUGGCCUUCCAAAUUGGAAGAUAAGAACUUUAAAGACUUUUGUUCCCAACUUGAAAUUCUCUUUAUCGAAGAAACCCGGGCAACUUCUAGGGUUCUUUCUCCUCUUCCCUCAGUCAAAGUGUGUGAAAAAUGACUGAAGUGUUGACUAAAGACCUUCAACUGGACAUGGCUGUUCCAUAUCGGCUGCUAAAAACAAGUGUAAGCUGGUAAUGAUUCCUCUGUAUUCUCACCAGGAAACCUUUUCUAAACAUUAAAAAAAGCCAGUGAAAGUAUAGCUUUGAGACAGAGAGGCAAACCCCUGGAGGAUCUGGGUGACCUUGCUUUUAUAAAAAGAAAGAAAGCCUCUUUUUUUUUCAAGGUGUGACUUUCACGUUUGAUGGCUUUAUUGUGAUGUUCAUUUUUCCCCUCCCCUUUUUUGAUUAGCAAGUUAUUACCUUCACCCCAUUUAUAUUUACAGUGAACAUCAG